rnacentral:rRNA from 1 species
AACUUUCAACAACGGAUCUCUUGGUUCUCGCAUCGAUGAAGAACGCAGCGAAACGCGAUAGUUAAUGUGAAUUGCAGAAUUCAGUGAAUCAUCGAGUCUUUGAACGCACAUUGCACCUUUUGGCAUUCCGAAAGGUAUGUCUGUUUGAGCGUCAUU